rnacentral:lncRNA from 1 species
AACACUUGAAAAGUGUAGCACUGGUUGGAAACGUAUAGUUCCAAUGGUAUACAAGGCUAGCUAGUAGUACAUUGUGGAGAGGUGAUUAGUGUUCUCCACACCUCUAAAUUUUGAAUUACAUGCCUAUUUAUAGGCUUUGUUCCACCGACUUGUGAAUGUCGGUUUCUAUUUCUUUAAUUUUAGUACAUUCUAGAGGUGAUAUAGUAUUUUUUGUCUUAUUCUUACAGGCUAGAAACGCUAGGGGCAACGUUGAGGAAUGGCCUCAGCAUGAUUUAAUAAGGCGAUUGUUGGACCAUGGCCUGGUUAUUCCCAUAUUCGCCCAUGAAAUCAGUAGCAGUGAAAUUGACAAUAGUAGAAGUUCUGGUCAUGCCCGUGGUAAGGUGAGUUUAAACCUUCAAAGAGCUUGUCGGGAUACUUUGAUGGAGAUCGGGAUGUCUAGUCUCCGUGUAUCUCAGGUCAUUGGUGUCCUUACCAACAAAGAAAUGAGAAGCUUUCUCUCUGUGAAAGACCAUGGCCGGCGGCUUGAAUAUGCCAGAUCUUUUUUG